UACAGAGGGGGCAAGCGUUAUUCGGAAUUAUUGGGCGUAAAGGGCGCGUAGGCGGCCUUUCAAGUGACGGGUGAAAUCCCCCGGCUUAACCGGGGAACUGCCUGUCAGACUGGGAGGCUUGAGACCGGGAGAGGUGAGUGGAAUUCCCAGUGUAGCGGUGAAAUGCGUAGAGAUCGGGAAGAAUACCAGUGGCGAAGGCGUUCUGCUGGGCCGUUGCUGACACUGAGGCGCGACAGCGUGGGGAGCAAACAGG
rnacentral:rRNA from 1 species